GUGCUAGCUUCAGCAGCACAUAUACGAAAAUUGGAUAAAAACAGAGAAGGUUAGCAUGGCCCCUGUGCAAGGAUGACAUGCAAAUUCGUGAAGCAUGGUCAU